UAAGUGUCCCUUAGACCUGAGAUCACCUCAGUGACUUGCAAGCAACUCACUGUGCUUUGGUACUGGACUAACUGAAUUUCUAAUUCAGUGAUGGAAGGCCUCUGGGCACAGUCAAGUACUUGCAAAGUCGAAGUGUGAUCAAGAUGGGAUUGACCACUCCAAGAGUUGGAGAAGAAUGAGUCGCUGUAUUUCAAUUUAGCAAAACCUUGGCUAGGGUAAUCCAUCAAAUGGAUUUGAUAUUUUAAAAUAUAAUAUGGACAACUUGAUUAGAGUUGACA
rnacentral:lncRNA from 1 species